AUUGAACGCUGGCGGCAUGCCUUACACAUGCAAGUCGAACGGUAACAGGUUAAGCUGACGAGUGGCGAACGGGUGAGUAAUGUAUCGGAACGUGCCCAGUCGUGGGGGAUAACUGCUCGAAAGAGCAGCUAAAACCGCAUACGACCUGAGGGUGAAAGCGGGGGAUCGCAAGACCUCGCGCGAGUGCAGCGGCCGAUAUCAGAUUAGGUAGUUGGUGGGGUAAAGGCCUACCAAGCCUACGAUCUGUAGCUGGUCUGAGAGGACGACCAGCCACACUGGGACUGAGACACGGCCCAGACUCCUACGGGAGGCAGCAGUGGGGAAUUUUGGACAAUGGACGCAAGUCUGAUCCAGCCAUGCCGCGUGCGGGAAGAAGGCCUUCGGGUUGUAAACCGCUUUUGUCAGGGAAGAAAAGGGUGUUUCUAAUAAAGACGCCUCAUGACGGUACCUGAAGAAUAAGCACCGGCUAACUACGUGCCAGCCGCCGCCGUAAAAC
rnacentral:rRNA from 1 species